rnacentral:tRNA from 1 species
GCCCGGUUGGCUCACUCAGUGGAGUGUGUGACUCUUGAUCUCAUAGUUGUGGGUUCAAGCCCUGCACUGGGUA